rnacentral:lncRNA from 1 species
GGUGUGAGCUUAGAGAGAGAGAAGAGAAGAGAGAGAGGGGGAAAGAGCCGUUAGAGAGAGGGCCACUGUUAAAAUUCUUCAAUCCAAUCAACUACUCUUCAAUAUUAUAUUAAUUGGGAUCGGUCAUAUAAAUUUGAAAUUUAUUCUUAAAUCAUACUCCCUCUAAGCUCCAUCCCAUUUUAUGUGGCACACUCUCCUUUUUAGUUUGUCACAUAAAAUGACAUCUUUCUAUAUAUAUAUAACCAAAUUUGGCUUCAAUCUUCCAAAUUUACUCUUAAUGAGAUAAUUUAUAGUCACAUAAAUGAAUUCAGAGCAAAAGAAGCUAUAAGAAGCUAAAGUAGAGCAAAAGAAACUAUAAGUUCUUGAGCUUAUUAUGAACUGAGAAUUGUUUUUCUUUUAAAGAUAAAAAAGGGGUGGGCAGUAUAGUGCCUGGGUGAGUCCCGGAGAACAUCCAUAGUAGCUUUGCAAGGCAAUAUAGGAGGCGUGUGUUGAGCUUGCUGUCUCAUUAAAUAAGAUUCUAUCAUAAAAGUAUAAUAUUUAAGUGUGCCUCUAAAAAGGGUAUUCUUUUGAUGAUUGAAAGCUAAAGUUUUUGAACCAAAGUUGCUCCUUUGAUGGACACAUAAUGUUGGGUUGAUGUUGCUUAGGUUCACCAUUAUCCUCCCUUACAUUCUUUUCUCGACUGAUGUCUACAACUUGGACUUUUCAUGUGCAGUCAGAUGUGUCAUUUGUGAUAUUAGAUUGAAUUUGUCUCUUUGACUUAUGAUAUUUUUGUAACAACACAAAAUCAACCAAAAAAACAUAAAACACAAAAACCAAGAAACAAUUAGUAACACGCUUGUAAAAGUUGUAGCUAGACAAUAUUCAAAGAGAACAACAAGCUAAUAUAAAAAUAUGAAAUUGUAAUUACAGGAAAAAGAAGUGAAUUAAGAAAACAAGAGUAAUGGACAAAUUCUUUCUAGGAACAAUAAGAAAUAACCUGACCUAAAUACAACAACAGUCAAUUUAUGUCCCAAAUAAGGAGUUGGAGACCUAAGUUUGGCAUUGACAUUGUUGUCUAGCUACUAAUUUGCCCGAGUUGUCAUCAGCAUCACAAAGAUAUCUUAAUCUUUUAACAACUUUUGUAUUUAUUUCUUUAGGUAUGUGCAUAUAGCAUUUGAAUGGUAAGAUACAUAGUUUUGAACUAUAUCUUCUAUGCCUGUUUUGUAAGUCCCUGUAUUUAACAUUUUAAUCGUAAGGCACAAAGUUUUCAACUAAAUUUGAUGGGCAGAGAAAGAGCGGAUACGUGUUUUGUCAGAUUUUGUCAAACUCCUCCCCGAAGAAAGCUCGAUUCAUUGAAGAAUUUUGUCAAGCACCUACCAGGAAAAUAAAAAUAAAGGCGUCUCUAAUAAUUUACAUAUACAGUUAGGCAACACAUAUAAGGAAUAUCACAAAGAUUCCAAGACUACAGCCUCUCUGUGAUGUUGUAGAAACAAUAUUCUUUUAAUCUUAUUUUGCCACUUUGCUUCUACACUAUUUCCUACGCUCCUCACUUUUCCAACACAUUAUAAGAUUUAAGAAAAAAAUAUCCCAAAUUCAAACCAAGCAAUCUGACUUAACUUUCCAACAAGAAAUCAAAGAAUAACUAGAAAAGCUCAUAAUUAGAGAUAGAAAGAAGCUAAACAAAGUAAUCCACUAUAUUAUAUAUCCCGGCCAUGUUCUUUGAGACCUUGAAGAGUAGUACUAGUUGUCUUGGAAUAACUUGAAAGACUUAGAACUACUCAAGUCCUUGAAAGAAUCCGAUAGUUCAUCGCCGUUAAGUAAGUUGGCGAGGGCGACGACGAUCCUGCGAAUGCUUAAAAAACGAACCGUUUUAAAGCUGUAUGAUUUUUGUGUUUUGGAGAAUAAAAUUGAAGAUUUUGACAGAAUCAAAUAAACCAAAGCGUGAACCAAGUCAAAGAGACCCACCUUUACCAAUAUACUUCCCUCAAUCUCCAUUACUGUUGCAAUUUCAAUACAAAUUUAGGCCUUUUUCAAAUAAAUAACCAACAACAACAAAAUAAAGAAAAUAGACAAUACACAGUGUAGGGUAAACAGUUCACGGGUGUAGCGAGAGAAGAACCUUACGUGAAAGAAAAGAACUGAGCAAUUGGAUAGGGAGGACAGUACCGCAUGGUAGCAGAGAGUUUGUGACAUCCUUAUUUUGCAAUUUCGGGCUUAUGAUUUUUUGAGUAGCGUGAAAGAAAAGAACUGAAAAUUUAGUGGAGAGUGUUGGCGUUUUUUUAUUUUGGAUAUGUC